UAAGACUCAUGAACAACUAGUCCAUAUCUUCUGAAUGCAACCCAGAUGCUUUCAUUAAGCUAGAGCCUCU
rnacentral:tRNA from 1 species